UACGGGGGGGGCAAGCGUUGUUCGGAAUUACUGGGCGUAAAGGGCUCGUAGGUGGCCAACUAUGUCAGACGUGAAAUCCCUCGGCUUAACCGGGGAACUGCAUCUGAUACUGGAUGGCUUGAGUUUGGGAGAGGGACGCGGAAUUCCAGGUGUAGCGGUGAAAUGCGUAGAUAUCUGGAGGAACACCGGUGGCGAAGGCGGCGUCCUGGACCAACACUGACACUGAGGAGCGAAAGCCAGGGGAGCAAACAGG
rnacentral:rRNA from 1 species